rnacentral:rRNA from 5 species
UCUGACCUCAAAUCAGG